rnacentral:rRNA from 1 species
CUGACACAGGUGCUGCGUGGCUGUCGUCAGCUCGUGUCGUGAGAUGUUGGGUUAAGUCCCGUAACGAGCGCAACCCUUGUCCUUAGUUACCAGCACGUUAUGGUGGGCACUCUAAGGAGACUGCCGGUGCAAACCGGAGGAAGUGGGGAUGACGUCAAGUCAUCAUGGCCCUUACGGCCUGGGCUACACACGUGCUACAAUGGUCGGUACAAAGGGUUGCCAAGCCGCGAGGUGGAGCUAAUCCCAUAAAACCGAUCGUAGUCCGGAUCGCAGUCUGCAACUCGACUGCGUGAAGUCGGAAUCGCUAGUAAUCGUGAAUCAGAAUGUCACGGUGAAUACGUUCCCGGGCCUU